rnacentral:rRNA from 1 species
GUGAGGAAUCUUCCACAAUGGGCGAAAGCCUGAUGGAGCAACGCCGCGUGAAGGAUGAAGGUCUUCGGAUUGUAAACUUCUUUUAUGAGUGAAGAAUAUGACGGUAACUCAUGAAUAAGCACCGGCUAACUACGUGCCAGCAGCCGCGGUCAUACGUAGGGUGCAAGCAUUAUCCGGAGUGACUGGGCGUAAAGAGUUGCGUAGGCGGUUAUGUAAGCGAAUAGUGAAACCUGGUGGCUCAACCACACAGACUAUUAUUCGAACUGCAGAACUCGAGAAUGGUAGAGGUAACUGGAAUUUCUUGUGUAGGAGUAAAAUCCGUAGAUAUAAGAAGGAACACCAAUGGCGUAGGCAGGUUACUGGGCCAUUUUUGACGCUAAGGCACGAAAGCGUGGGGAGCGAACCGGAUUAGAAACCCCGGUAGUCC